rnacentral:rRNA from 1 species
GACGCUGAGANACGAAAGCGUGGGAGUGAACGGGAUUAGAUACCCCGGUAAUCCACGCCGUAAACGAUGUCAACUAGCCGUUUGGAGUAUCGACCCUCUGAGUGGCGAAGCUAACGCGUUAAGUUGACCGCCUGGGAAGUACGGCCGCAAGGCUAAAACUCAAAGGAAUAGACGGGGACUUGCACAAGCGGUGGAUCAUGUGGUUUAAUUCGAUGAUACGCGAGGAACCUUACCAGGGUUUGACAUCCUGAUGACCGUUUAUCGAAAGAUAAAUUUUCUUUUAGACAUCAGGGUCAGGUGGUGCACGGUUGCCGUCAGCUCGAGUCUUGAGAUGUUCCCUUAAGUGGGGUAUCGAGCGCAACCCCUAUCCUAUGUUACAAGUGUCAUAGGAGACUGCCUCUGUAUAGGGGGAGGAAGGCGGGGAUGACGUCAAAUCAGCGUGUCCUUUUGAUAUCCUGGGCCACACACAUGAUACAAUGGCCGAGACAAUGGGUUGCCAAACCGAAAGGUGGAGCUAAUCCCAUCAAACUCGGUCCCAGUUCGGAUUGAGGGCUGCAAUUCGCCCUCAUGAAGUUGGAAUCGCUAGUAAUCGUGAAUCAGCCAUGUCACGGUGAAUACGUUCUCAAGUCUUGUACUCACCGCCCGUCAAAUCAGGGAAGUUGGUAGUACCCGAAGUCUCACUUCGCGUGGGCCUAAGGUAAGAUCAGUGACCAGGAUUAAGUCGUAACAAGGCAUCGGUAGCGGAAGCUGUCGAUG